rnacentral:lncRNA from 1 species
AAGUGACAAGCUUUUAAUGUUAGAAUGGCUCACCUAAAGCGACUAGUAAAAUUACACUUUAAAAGACAUUACCAUAAAAAGUUCUGGAAGCUUGGUGCAGUAAUUUUUUUCUUUAUAAUAGUUUUGGUUUUAAUGCAAAGAGAAGUAAGUGUUCAAUAUUCCAAAGAGGAAUCAAGGAUGGAAAGGAAUAUGAAAAACAAAAACAAGAUGUUGGAUUUAAUGCUAGAAGCUGUAAACAAUAUUAAGGAUGCCAUGCCAAAAAUGCAAAUAGGAGCACCUGUCAGGCAAAACAUUGAUGCUGGUGAGAGACCUUGUUUGCAAGGAUAUUAUACAGCAGCAGAAUUGAAGCCUGUCCUUGACCGUCCACCUCAGGAUUCAAAUGCACCUGGUGCUUCUGGUAAAGCAUUCAAGACAACUAAUUUAAGUGUUGAAGAGCAAAAGGAAAAGGAACGUGGGGAAGCUAAACACUGCUUUAAUGCUUUCGCAAGUGACAGGAUUUCUUUGCACCGAGAUCUUGGACCAGACACUCGACCUCCUGAGGCAGUUUUCUCAGGCCCCUAAUAUCACACUGGAGGCUACAGUUUCCCCAUUGGCCCUGGCAGAGGAACUGAAGGGUGUUGGGCUCUUAUCUCCAUGAGUAAAUGAUUUACUUCCUUAUCUUUGUGUUUGAGCAGCACUGUUUAAUUGUUCACACACUGUAUUUACUGUGCCUUUUGACUGUAAGGGAGGAUUUCAUAGUCUGUUGUCCAAAAUUGUACAGCC